rnacentral:lncRNA from 1 species
UUGUAACACCCCAGAAAAUAACAUCUAAAUAUUUCAAUACAAGUUCUACGUAUUUCUAUACAAACUUGGAGUUUUUCAAAACAUUCCUAAUACAUAUGAUUAGGAUUUAUAGAAAUACAAAUAUUUACAUAUCCAUAACUCAAAAUAAAACUUUGAAACCUCUAAGGCUUUCCUGCACCUGUAUGGUCAUCUGCUCGUGUACAUAGUACAGUCAUUGCAGUUUAAACACAACACAAAAAGUAAGGGUAAGCUAGUGAAAAUAAAAUUUUAUAAUAUACGGAAUUAAAUUAAAAGAGAAAAUAAAAUUACAUGGCCAAUUUCUCAAUUAUUGAAUCUUCAAAUUCCAACAUAAAUCAAUCACAUAGAUCUCACAUGGAUCUACACAUCCAGAAUAUUCAACAAUCAACGUCUUCCGGAAGACCCGUAUUAAGUAAGUCCUACCAGAGACUAACACCUGAUCCAAAGAUUACCAGCGAAUCCAACAGAAAGGAUCAGGGUAAGUUCAAUACAACCCAAGCCGUGCAUCUCAUAUGUCACGGUGUGCAUGAACUCCCCCAUCAGCUUCUCACCACCUGAUAUCUUAGUCUAUGUGACUUAGAUCAUCAGUGAAGCUCGGAGAUCUCUGUUACCACAUAGGCAUCAAUACUUAAUACACAACAAACAUCAGUCCAUACAUUAUCCCAAAUGUAUGAAUUCAAUUCCAUACCAUUCCAUCAUACAAUAUCAUUCAAAAAGUGAUCCACAAUAUUCAAAAGUCUAUUUGACAUAAGAAAAGAUAACACUUUAAUACUAAAUCAUCAAAAUAUAAUAUUUUUAAAUUUAAAUAAUAUACAAACAAACAACCCAAUAUAUAAACACACAACAUCCCUACAUGAAAAAAUUGAAUAUUGGGACCACGUCCCUUCUGCAUUCAGAUCUUCUAUCCUAGGGUGCUAUUAAAAAAUUAAAUUUAGCUUCCCUUACCUCAAUUGCUUGCUUUCCAAGCAACUUUUAUAAUUUUAUUUCCCACCGUCUGGAUAAGCUUCAAGAUUUACGGGCCUAAUGCAAGUUAUCCAAACAUAACAAAAAUUCAGUAUAGAGUAGAAUAAGUUGAGAGGAUUAAACUUCUCAAUUGACCCCACCAAUAUUGAUGACUAAAUUCUAAGGAAAAACAAAGAACAAAGGAUAUUUAGAGUAAAAAUGAACUUACUCUGUUUAAAAAUCUGAUCGGGUAGAAAUGUUCCUUAACUCGCCAGCUACAACGUGGUCCGAUCAGAUUCUAAAAUAGAUGAAGAUUGGAAGAGAAAAUUAAGAGAGAGGGAGAUAAGAGAAUAUGGAGAGAGAGAGA